GAUGAAGAACGUAGCGAAAUGCGAUACGUAAUGUGAAUUGCAGAAUUCAGUGAAUCAUCGAGUCUUUGAACGCACAUUGCGCCCCCUGGUAUUCCGGGGGGCAUGCCUGUCCGAGCGUCAUUGCUGCCCUCAAGCACGGCUUGUGUGUUGGGCCCCCGCCCCCCGGUUCCCGGGGGGCGGGCCCGAAAGGCAGUGGCGGUGCCGUCCGGCUCCGAGCGUAGUAAUUCUUCUCGCUCUGGAGGUCCGGUCGUGUGCUCGCCAGCAACCCCCAAUUUUUUUCAGGUUGACCUCGGAUCAGGUAGGGAUACCCGCUGAACUUAAGCAUAUCAAUAAGCGGAGGA
rnacentral:misc_RNA from 1 species